rnacentral:rRNA from 1 species
AUUGAACGCUGGCGGCAUGCUUUACACAUGCAAGUCGAACGGCAGCGCGGGGCAACCCUGGCGGCGAGUGGCGAACGGGUGAGUAAUGCAUCGGAACGUAUCCUGUAAUGGGGGGAUAACGUAGCGAAAGUUACGCUAAUACCGCAUACGCUCGAGAGAGGAAAGUGGGGGAUCGCAAGACCUCACGUUAUAGGAGCGGCCGAUGUCCGAUUAGCUAGUUGGUGGGGUAAAGGCCUACCAAGGCGACGAUCGGUAGCUGGUCUGAGAGGAUGAUCAGCCACACUGGGACUGAGACACGGCCCAGACUCCUACGGGAGGCAGCAGUGGGAAUUUGGACAAUGGGCAAGCCUGAUCCAGCCAUGCCGCGUG